rnacentral:rRNA from 1 species
ACGGAGGAUGCAAGCGUUAUCCGGAAUGAUUGGGCGUAAAGCGUCCGCAGGUGGCUAUGUAAGUCUGCUGUUAAAGAGUCUAGCUCAACUAGAUACAAGCAGUGGAAACUACAAGGCUAGAGUACGUUCGGGGCAGAGGGAAUUCCUGGUGUAGCGGUGAAAUGCGUAGAGAUCGGGAAGAACACCGGUGGCGAAGGCGCUCUGCUAGGCCGUAACUGACACUGAGGGACGAAAGCUAGGGGAGCGAAUGGGA